UACGAAGGGGGCUAGCGUUGCUCGGAAUCACUGGGCGUAAAGCGCACGUAGGCGGAUAUUUAAGUCAGGGGUGAAAUCCCAGAGCUCAACUCUGGAACUGCCUUUGAUACUGGGUAUCUUGAGUAUGGAAGAGGUAAGUGGAAUUGCGAGUGUAGAGGUGAAAUUCGUAGAUAUUCGCAGGAACACCAGUGGCGAAGGCGGCUUACUGGUCCAUUACUGACGCUGAGGUGCGAAAGCGUGGGGAGCAAACAGG
rnacentral:rRNA from 1 species